rnacentral:rRNA from 1 species
AUUGAACGCUGGCGGCAGGCCUAACACAUGCAAGUCGAGCGGAUGAAGGGAGCUUGCUCCUGGAUUCAGCGGCGGACGGGUGAGUAAUGCCUAGGAAUCUGCCUGGUAGUGGGGGAUAACGUCCGGAAACGGGCGCUAAUACCGCAUACGUCCUGAGGGAGAAAGUGGGGGAUCUUCGGACCUCACGCUAUCAGAUGAGCCUAGGUCGGAUUAGCUAGUUGGUGGGGUAAAGGCCUACCAAGGCGACGAUCCGUAACUGGUCUGAGAGGAUGAUCAGUCACACUGGAACUGAGACACGGUCCAGACUCCUACGGGAGGCAGCAGUGGGGAAUAUUGGACAAUGGGGGAAAGCCUGAUCCAGCCAUGCGGCGUGUGUGAAGAAGGUCUUCGGAUUGUAAAGCACUUUAAGUUGGGAGGAAGGGCAGUAAGUUAAUACCUUGCUGUUUUGACGUUACCAACAGAAUAAGCACCGGCUAACUUCGUG